rnacentral:lncRNA from 1 species
CUACUCUUCAUUACUUUGAAAGUAUUUGUCAACACUGCUGGAAAAAAAUGAUCAAUGCUAUUUCUCUCUUUCUUUUAGAUUGAUUUUGAGGUAACAAGAUGACAGAGUUUCAAAGAAACAUAAAUGGGGACUCCAGUUGAAUAUAUAGGAUAUUUUCAUUCUAUCUGCCAUGUGUUAUAUGCCUGAUUCUAUGAAUUCAUCUUUUAUUUCUGUAUUCAUUUUAUAUUCUACAUUUUGCACCUGCCAAUUCCACUGUCUUGAGAGUUUGACUGUCUUCCUAUGGUGUCAAGAUGGCUCCUGGAAGCUCCACACUUAGCUGGUCAUUAAAGAUUAUGAUGUCACAGAAAGAUAGAAACCAUCUUGUCUUCAACAGCCUCAUCAACUCCUGGGAAGAUUGCUUAGGCCCAACCCGUGUGUACCUGGAGGAUUGCCACCCCCAUCUGCCUGCCCCUGUACUGGAAGCUGAUUGUCGCUCCCCACCUGCACUCUGGGACACUGCUUUGUGCUGGCCAGUUUUCUAGACCAGCUUUAGCCUGGACAAAUGGGGGAAUUUUCUUUUUUUCCUAUCUGGUGGGCUAAGUUAUACUUUCCCUAAUAAGGUAUGAACUUCAGCCUUGAGGAGAGAGUUUCACUCUGAGUUUGUCUUUCCUUGGAUACUCUCUCUCAUUCCUGGAGUAUCACACAGCAUUUUCAUAUCUGUUAUGAUUAUUCUUUUAUCAUAGAUUGAUGAUUCUUUAUAUUGAGCUUUGGUUGUUUAACUCACCAUGUGGUUUCUGUUUCGACCUACAUUAGUCAUUAGUCAGUGCAAAUUAAAACCACAAAGAGAUACAAUUAUAUAUAUACUUGAAUGGCUAAUCUGUUUUUUAAAAAAGUAUGGACAAUACCAAAUAUUGGUAAAAAUGUAGGGCACCUGGAAUUCUCAUUCACUAUUGGUGGGAAUAUGAAAUAUUAUUAGCACUUUGGGGAAAAAAAGCCUCAAAGAUUCUUAUAAAACUAAGAUACACUUAUUCUAAUAUUCAUCAGUUCUACUCCAAGAGAAAUCAAGACAUAUAUCCACAGAAAGGCUUGUAUAGGAAUGUUCUGAGAUAUUGUACUGAUAAUAGCCAAAGCUGAAAACAAAUGCCCAUCAAUAGGCACAUGGGUAAAUAGACUAUGGUGUAGUAAUUUGAUGGAGUACUACUUAGUGAUAAAAGAACAGAAAACACUGCUUUUGAGCAACAUUGAUGAAUCUCAAAAUCAUACUGAGUGAAAGAAGCCUUAAACAAAAUUUUCAUAUUAUAUGACUCUAUGAGAUUCUAGACCAAGUAAACUAAGGUUUGGCAGGGGGAAAACAGUGGUUGACUCUGUGAAGAAUAGAGAUUAAUUGGGAAGAGGCUUGCAAGAAUGUUCUGGAGUGAUGAAAGUAUUAUUAUACCUCUUGAUAUUCUCUGUGCAAAUACUAAGAAUGAAUCUUUAAAAAACAUGAAUUCAGUUUAUAUAGAUUAUGCAUUUGCCAAAACUUAUUGAAUGGUUCUGUUAAGAUUUGUGCAUUUCAUAGCAGUGCAUUUAACCUAAAAAUGUUUAAAGAAGCAAUGGUGUAAUGCUACAGUGCUUAGAUGAGAAGUAUACUGAUGCCUGCAACCUAUUUUGAAAUUCAUUCAAAAUACAGGUAGAUUGGAUUCCUGGGUGGCGCAGCGGUUUGGCGCCUGCCUUUGGCCCAGGGCGCGAUCCUGGAGACCUGGGAUCGAGUCCCACGUCGGGCUCCCGGUGCAUGGAGCCUGCUUCUCCCUCUGCCUGUGUCUCUGCCCCCUCUCUCUCUUUCUGUGUGACUAUCAUAAAUAAAUAAAAAUUUAAAAAAAAAUACA